GGAUGGAUCAUUCUUAGACUAACUCAAUACCGUAUCUUUGAUGAACGCGCAUGGAGUUGAAAAGACAAAAACAAUCUCUAGGCGAUGGCUGACUAGGUCCUCAUAACGAAUAAGGACGCAGCGAACUGCGAUAUGUGGUAUGAUGUGCGAAAUCUCGUGAUUAUAUUAUCUCUGAAUGCUUUUGCACCUAACUUUUGAAGUUAGGUCCGGAGUUGUUGGUAUAUAUUAUCUGAAAAGUCUGUGACGGAGCUAUCUCUUACUUCAAGAGUGACAUAACUACUGCUGGAAAGAAUAAAGUUUGUUUCUAGAAAGUGUCUGUUGAGUAUAUCCGACAACUGCGGGAAUACCCGCUGAAUUUAAGCAUAUAAUUAAGCGGAGGAGAAGAAACGAGCAAGGAUUCCCUUAGUAGUGGCGAACGAAGUGGGAUGUGUCCAAAGUGUUAAUCUGGCUUGCCAGAAAUGUUCACAGUCGAAUGCAUUCAAGGAAACAGCUGUUAAGUGUGUGGAAAUACACUUCGUAGAGGGUGAUGAGCCCGUAAACAGCAAUAUUCUGAUCUAUGCACGACAAGGCGAGUAUCGCUCUUUGAGAGUAGAGCGUGAAUAGGGAUUAACCUUUCCCUGUGACUAAAUAUCGAUGAGAAACCGACAGCGAACAAGUACCGUGAGGGAAAGUUGAAAAGUACUCCGGAAGGAGGUUCAAAGACCUAAAAUCGCUUGGAGCGAAGUAUUUUCACAGACGUUGACUUGCAAUUCUAUUGCAGUCAAACAUUCAUUGUGGUGUAGACAUUGAUAAUUUCGCUUUCCUGGAAGAGAAAUAUAUAAACGUCACGUCCACCUUGACUUGUAAGUCUAUGGAGCUAGCCCGUCUUGAAACACGGACCGAGGAGUUGUACAUAAGUGCAAGUAUGUGGGAUUGUAGUCCCUUAUGCGUAGUGAAAGCAGAGAUUCUGAUUCAACUGUGGCCGGUCAACAGACUGAGCUUGAGCAUUUCUGUUCAGACCCGAAAGAUGGUGACCUAUACUUGGAUUGGGUGAAGCCAGGGGAAACUCUGGUGGAGGCUCGUAGCGAUACUGACGUGCAAAUCGUUCGUCGAAUUUGAGUAUAGGGGCGAAAGACUAAUCGAACCAUCUAGUAGCUGGUUCCCUU
rnacentral:misc_RNA from 1 species